rnacentral:rRNA from 1 species
AGUGAACGCUGGCGAUAGGCCUAACACAUGCAAGUCGAACGGCAGCACAGUAAGAGCUUGCUCUUACGGGUGGCGAGUGGCGGGCGGGUGAGGAAUACAUCGGAAUCUACUUUUUCGUGGGGGAUAACGUAGGGAAACUUACGUUAAUACCGCAUACGACCUACGGGUGAAAGCAGGGGAUCUUCGGACCUUGCGCGAUUGAAUGAGCCGAUGUCGGAUUAGCUAGUUGGCGGGGUAAAGGCCCACCAAGGCGACGAUCCGUAGCUGGUCUGAGAGGAUGAUCAGCCACACUGGAACUGAGACACGGUCCAGACUCCUACGGGAGGCAGCAGUGGGGAAUAUUGGACAAUGGGCGCAAGCCUGAUCCAGCCAUACCGCGUGGGUGAAGAAGGCCUUCGGGUUGUAAAGCCCUUUUGUUGGGAAAGAAAAGCAGCAGGUUAAUACCCCGCUGUUCUGACGGUACCCAAAGAAUAAGCACCGGCUAACUUCGUG